CCUACGGGCGGCAGCAGUGGGGAAUAUUGCGCAAUGGGCGAAAGCCUGACGCAGCGACGCCGCGUGAGGGAUGAAGGUCUUCGGAUCGUAAACCUCUGUCAGCAGGGAAGAACGGUCACUGUGCUAAUCAGCAGUGAAUUGACGGUACCUGCAAAGAAAGCACCGGCUAACUCCGUGCCAGCAGCCGCGGUAAUACGGAGGGUGCGAGCGUUAAUCGGAAUUACUGGGCGUAAAGCGCUCGUAGGCGGUAUGUCAAGUCAAGGGUGAAAUCCCCGCGCUCAACGUGGGAACUGCCUUUGAAACUGGGAAACUGGAGUGUGGGAGAGGAGAGUGGAAGUCCAGGUGUAGGAGUGAAAUGCGUAGAUAUCUGGAGGAACAUCAGUGGCGAAGGCGACUAUCUGGCACAUAACUGACGCUGAGGAGCGAAAGCGUGGGUAGCAAACAGGAUUAGAUACCCCAGUAGUC
rnacentral:rRNA from 1 species